GGCCGCUUCCUCAGGUUUCCCACGCUGUCCUUUCCUAGCUGACCCUCCCAUGGAGGCUUUCCCGUGAGGCUGGAAGAGGAGUGGCACAGAGGACUUAUCUUACAAGCGCAGCAACAGGAAAAGAAACUAAAAUACUAAAGAAAUUGCCCCUGGAGAUUGGAAGCAUGAACACGUCACCAUCAACCGUUUCUUGACUACUUGGAGCUCCCAUUGCUAUCUCAACUCUCGGAACAGCCUAGUAGGUGAAUUGAGAUGCUUGGACAUCAAGGAUCAGCAAGCUUGAAAUUGGAGCCUGUGCAGCGGAUGAUC